GGAGGGUGCAAGCGUUAUUCGGAUUUAUUGGGCGUAAAGGGCGCGUAGGCGGCUUCGCAGGUCAGGUGUGAAAUCCCGGGGCUUAACCCCGGAAGUGCAUCUGAAACCUCGGAGCUUGAGUAUGGGAGAGGGAAACGGAAUUCCCGGUGUAGCGGUGAGAUGCGUAGAUAUCGGGAGGAACACCUGUGGCGAAAGCGGUUUCCCGGACCAAUACUGACGCUGAGGCGCGAAGGCGCGGGGAUCAAACAGUAUUAGAUACCCUGGUAGUCCGCGCAGUAAACGGUGAUCACUUGGUGUGGCGGGUAUUGACCCCUGCCGUGCCGGAGCUAACGCAUUAAGUGAUCCGCCUGGGAAGUACGGUCGCAAGAUUA
rnacentral:rRNA from 1 species